rnacentral:rRNA from 1 species
CAGCAGCCGCGGGAAAACGUAGGUGGCAAGCGUUGUCUGGAAUUAUUGGGCGUAAAGGGCUCGCAGGCGGUUUCUUAAGUCUGGUGUCUAAGUGCGGGGCUCAACCCCGUGACGCACUGGAAACUGGGAGACUUGAGUGCAGAAGAGGAGAGCGGAAUUCCACGUGUAGCGGUGAAAUGCGUAGAGAUGUGGAGGAACACCAGUGGCGAAGGCGGCUCUCUGGACUGUAACUGACGCUGAGGCGCGAAAGCGUGGGGAGCAAACAGGAUUAGAUACCCCAGUAGUCCCUGUCUCUUAUACA